AGGAGAGAAACCAAGGGCAGGAGGCAUAGGAUGAAGAACUUGGAGAGUUGAAAACACAGUUCAGGGACUCACAGGAAGCAUCAUGACCAACACUGCCAAUUCUCCUGGUAGGAUUCACUUCCAGGGAGCAGCAGGUAGAACAAGGUCAGGAAGCCAGAAACCCUCUGAAAAUAGAACAGACCCCUUUGAUGUCAAGAUAUCACAAUGUGAUCAUCAGUGGCUUGGAUCAUAAUGUGUAUCAGUCCUACUGCAAGAGGACUCCAUGGAUCAUGUAUGUCAAGUUCGUUAUCUGGCACAUGGAGGUGACCCACCCUUUGCUGAGAGCCCAUGAUUUAACCCAUAAAGACUAGAACCCUUGAAACCCA